rnacentral:misc_RNA from 1 species
GCAUUGCACUAAUGCUUUCGAUACUACAACAAACAUUUGAUUUAAUAGAUUUUGAAAAUAAUAAUGAUCAAUCGGUGUGUUUGAAUUCUUGAUACUUGUAAUUUUGGUAUAGCAAUGGAGUGUACAAUUUUUUAAGGACAAAAGGAAUAAAAGGCCUUCUGUGGGGGUUAUUGCCACUGCUACACAAACCCAAAACCAAAAUCUUCGAAAUGACAAACAAUUUUAAGUCUUUGUUGCCAAGUGGAUAUAAGGACAAAUUCCCAAUUUUCAUAAAAUUUGAGUCAACACACAUGUAAUCAUUUUUGGCCCUUCUCUUGGCUGUAGUCUUGGAGUUGCCAAACUCUUGGGUCCCAUAGAAGUUAUUCUUCUUUGUUUUCGAAUUUGGAUGAAUUAUAACUUUGUUUUAUGUGGAUUUAUUUUAUUAUUUGUUUGGACAUACAUGUUCUUUUCACAAUUUUAUAAUACUUUUUGGAGCUUUCAUUUGUAUUGGGGAUUCCAUUCUGCCUACAGAUCAAGUAAUUUGACAAUGGCUUUAAUGCUUACAAAGCAUAAAUGCCCUUUUAGGAUUUUUUCUGGGCUAAAAAAGUAUUAGCAAGAAUUGAUGAUUUGCCCUAAAAAAGAUGAAUAACAUUUUAAUUAGCUUUGGUGGGCAACUAAGUUGUGGUACUCUAUUUUCCAUCAAACAUUUACAGCGCUACAUACAAGGGUAGUGCUAUCCUUGCGAGAAUUCAUCUUCUCCUUACUGUUUAAAGGCAAUCACCCUUUGUAAGUACCACAUGUUCUAAUUUGCAAGGUUGCCUAUUUUAUAGUGGUACUCAGUGAUCCACAUUGAGGACACUCUAUUGGUUAGGCCACUUGCAUGCUCACAUAUCAUAUAUGUGGAUGUGCUCUCUCUCUCGCUCUCUGUGCACAUUUGUGACUUGUUUGGUUCAAAUGGAGAGAUUAUUGUGCGUUGUUGGAGCAUUGACUCUCUCUCACAAUAUAUGAGAUCCACUAGUCCUUAAUUUAGAAAAUAACUAUAAUUAUGUAUCUAUGGA